rnacentral:rRNA from 1 species
AAGGGAAACAGCCCAGACCACCAGCUAAGGUCCCAAAAUAUAUGUUAAGUGGAAAAGGAUGUGGCGUUGCCCAGACAACUAGGAUGUUGGCUUAGAAGCAGCCAUCAUUUAAAGAGUGCGUAAUAGCUCACUAGUCGAGUGACACUGCGCCGAAAAUGUACCGGGGCUAAACAUAUUACCGAAGCUGUGGAUUGUCCUUUGGACAAUGGUAGGAGAGCGUUCUAAGGGCGUUGAAGCAUGAUCGUAAGAACAUGUGGAGCGCUUAGAAGUGAGAAUGCCGGUGUGAGUAGCGAAAGACGGGUGAGAAUCCCGUCCACCGAUUGACUAAGGUUUCCAGAGGAAGGCUCGUCCGCUCUGGGUUAGUCGGGUCCUAAGCUGAGGCCGACAGGCGUAGGCGAUGGAUAACAGGUUGAUAUUCCUGUACCACCUAUAAUCGUUUUAAUCGAUGGGGGGACGCAGUAGGAUAGGCGAAGCGUGCGAUUGGAUUGCACGUCUAA